AUACCUCUUGAAAUGUUUAAUAAAAAUAAAUAUAUAUGAUCGAAUUGUCUAAACGUUCUAAUUACCCAUAGAAUAUUUAGAAAUGGUAAGAAGAAUGAAAAACUGAAACAAAACAUCGAUAUACUGGACUUGCUGUUGGUAGAACACAUUCUCGCAUUGACUUUUUGCAACUUCAUCCAUUAUACCGGUAGCCGUAGCAUCGUCUGGAGUAUAUAUAAGAUUUGUUGGCAUUGGUGUUCCAGAGGCGCUUAAUAAGGAUCUAAUGAAUACAAAUGAAUGUCCAAAUUAUCGAGUUUUUGUUCGUCAUAUAUCACAAUCUUUUUGAGGUCAUCGUCAGUUAGUUCAUUAUUGAUCGACGGAGUUGUGGGGAACAGAACAGCGAGUAAAUAGCAUAUAAUUAUAAUAACUAUUUCAGAGAUAGUUUUCUUAACUGAACGAAUUUCAAAUUUAAAAUUUUUACUAACGGCAGUUUUAACCGAGGCAGGCAUUUUAGUUGAUUUAUUUACAGCUACAAUAUAAGAUAAAAAUGCAUAUUUAUAUAAGGUUUUGGUUGGAA